rnacentral:rRNA from 1 species
GACGAACGCUGGCGGUGUGCUUCAUACAUGCAAGUCGAGCGAUAAGGCCCCUUCGGGGGGUACGUAAGCGGCGGACGGGUGAGUAAUACGUAGGAAAUCUGCCUUAAGGAGGGGGACAACAUCGGGAAACUGGUGCUAAUACCCCAUAUGAGAUAUCUUGAAAUGGGUAUCUUGAAAGUUCCGGCGCCUUAAGAUGAGCCUGCGGCUGAUUAGCUAGUUGGUGGGGUAAAUGCCUACCAAGGCGACGAUCAGUAGCUGGUCUGAGAGGAUGAUCAGCCACAAUGGGACUGAGACACGGCCCAUACUCCUACGGGAGGCAGCAGUAGGGAAUUUUGCGCAAUGGGCGAAAGCCUGACGCAGCAACACCGCGUGAGCGACGAAGCCCCUUGGGGUGUAAAGCUCAGUCAGUGGGGACGAAGCUUGACGGUACCCACAGAGGAAGCAUCGGCUAACUACGUGCCAGCCGCCGCCGUAAAAC